rnacentral:rRNA from 1 species
CGACUCUCGGCAACGGAUAUCUUGGCUCUCGCAUCGAUGAAGAACGUAGCGGAAUGCGAUACCUGGGUGUGAAUUGCAGAAUCCCGCGAACCAUCGAGUCUUUGAACGCAAGUUGCGCCCGAGGCCACUCGGCCGAGGGCACGCCUGCCUGGGCGUCACGC